GAGUUUGAUCGUGGCUCAGGAUAAACGCUGGCGGCGCACAUAAGACAUGCAAGUCGAACGAACUUAAUCCUUAGUUUACUAUGGAAGCGGUUAGUGGCGGACUGGUGAGUAACACGUAAGCAACCUGCCUAUCAGAGGGGAACAACAGUUAGAAAUGACUGCUAAUACCGCAUAUGCCUUAACUACCGCAUGGUAGAAGAGGGAAAGGAGCAAUCCGCUGAUAGAUGGGCUUGCGUCUGAUUAGAUAGUUGGUGUGGUAACGGCAUACCAAGUCGACGAUCAGUAGCCGGACUGAGAGGUUGAACGGCCACAUUGGGACUGAGAUACGGCCCAGACUCCUACGGGAGGCAGCAGUCGGGAAUAUUGCGCAAUGGAGGAAACUCUGACGCAGUGACGCCGCGUGCAGGAAGAAGGUUUUCGGAUUGUAAACUGCUUUAGACAGGGAAGAAAAAGACAGUACCUGUAG
rnacentral:rRNA from 1 species